UUUAUUAAUGUUUAGUUGUAGUGUUUUUAGUAGGCUUUUACUUAUUUUAUUGGGUCUUUUUCUUUUAUUUUUCGGAUUGGGCUCUUCCUAGUGGGUUAUACACUUGUUUUUGGGCCAAAAAAUCUUAUCAAUUCGGCCCAGCCCGUAGCCACUUAAGCCCACCUCUCCCCUUUCAUUAAACGGAGUCGUUUUGGUGUCUUAAGGCUUCAUUUUUCUUCUUCUUUCUUCUCCCUUCUUGCGCCGUUCACUUCCCUUUUUUCUUCAUCAUUUUCGUCGCUUCUUCUUCUUCAGCAGACCGGCUCUUUCUUCCUCCCUUGUGAUGCCGAUUCCUUCACAUUUUCGUCUGGUCUGGCCGAGCUUCUUUGUGUGUCUCAUUCCUCUUCUUUUUUCCUUGUUUAUUUCAUGUUAUUGUGGUGUAAAACUCCUGCUAUCUUCUUGGGUUGAUCACGAAUUUAUGCUCUGUUUUUAUACCCAGAAUUGCUCUGUUUUUCUUGGUCAUUUUGUGUCCCUUUUUUUUUCCUCUCUUUAUCUCUAUUAUUUUCGUGUACAAGAUUUUGGGUAAAACCUUGUGAUUUUCUGAAGUUUUCUCUCCAAAACUGUGAUCUGUAGCUAGUCCUUGCCGUGCCCUGUUUUGCUCUUGUAGCCGUGGACUCCAUUUCUAUUUCUUGUGAGCUUUUAGUUCAAACCGUGUGUUACAUUUCCAAGCAUUUAUCUCAAGCUUAUUUUCAGUAAAAAUCAGCCCCUUUUAUUCCACAAAUUUCACCUUAAAUCCCUUUGUUUUCAAAACUCAUUUUAGCCCCAAAACUUGUAAAUUUUGGUAAAUUAUUUUCAAGCUAGCUUUUGAAGUUAAUCGGGUAUUUGAUCUUCCAGAAUUAUUUCCUUUAAAAGCGUUAUUUUGAUGCAGAUGGUGAAGAGGCUGAGUCCAAGGAGGCGGCUCCACCGAAAGAGUAGAUUGGUGUCUCUACUUGUAAUUGUUAGAAAUUAUUUUCCGUUUUCAAAUUAUGUAUUUUGGUUUAUGACUUUGUUACUGGAAUUUGUAAUAUUUUUAGUAUGAUUAUGUUUAAGCGAAUUUGUAUUAAACAAAUUCUGGUACUUAGUCGACUGACUUUAUUUAUCCACUACAUCAUUUUUAUUGUA